rnacentral:lncRNA from 1 species
AACAAACAUAUAGUGGUUCGGUGCACCCCAGCACCUACAUCCACUCCCCAAGACCUCUUGGGAAUUUCACUAUAAUCCUACAGAUUACAGCUGGUUGUUUUACAAGCUCACAACCCAACUUGUUGUUUUGCGAGAUAACAACGAACUCGAUCGGUUUUCACAGGCUCACCGACUAGAACCAACCGAUUGUUUUUUCGGGUUCACAAUCAAACCCAGUUGGUUUUCCCACAGGCUCACCAACCACAACCUUACAACGAUUGUUUUCCGGGUUCACAAUCAACCCAGUUGGUUUUCCCAAAGGCUCACCAACCACAACCUAACACCGUUGGUUUUCCCUUUGGCUCACCAACAAACCUUAACCCCUUGAUUCAAUUCCUUGAUUGAAU